AUGGGCGAAAGCCUGAUGCAGCGACGCCGCGUGAGUGAGGAAGUAUUUCGGUAUGUAAAGCUCUAUCAGCAGGGAAGAAAGAAAUGACGGUACCUGAGUAAGAAGCUCCGGCUAAAUACGUGCCAGCAGCCGCGGUAAUACGUAUGGAGCAAGCGUUAUCCGGAUUUACUGGGUGUAAAGGGAGCGUAGGCGGCAGAGCAAGUCUGAUGUGAAAGCCCGGGGCUCAACCCCGGUAGUGCAUUGGAAACUGUUCGGCUGGAGUGUCGGAGGGGUAAGCGGAAUUCCUGGUGUAGCGGUGAAAUGCGUAGAUAUCAGGAAGAACACCGGAGGCGAAGGCGGCUUACUGGACGAUUACUGACGCUGAGGCUCGAAAGCGUGGGGAGCGAACAGGAUUAGAUACCCUGGUAGUCCACGCUGUAAACGAUGAAUACUAGGUGUCGGUACCCGAAGGGUAUCGGUGCCGUCGCAAACGCAUUAAGUAUUCCACCUGGGGAGUACGUUCGCAAGAAUGAAACUCAAAGGAAUUGACGGGGACCCGCACAAGCGGUGGAGCAUGUGGUAUAAUUCGAAGCAACGCGAAGAACCUUACCAAGUUCUUGACAUCCCGAUGACAAGCGAUGUAAUGUCGUCUCUCUUCGGAGCAUCGGAGACAGGUGGUGCAUGGUUGUCGUCAGCUCGUGUCGUGAGAUGUUGGG
rnacentral:rRNA from 1 species